GGACUUUAUAAUUGAUGGCUUAUCAGUGGAGAGAAAUCAUGUUCUUGUUAGAAUAAAUCUUGUUGGUGGGCCAUUGGAACGGAUUUUGCCUCCGAGGAUACUCGAAAAGAGUGAUAAUCCAUAUCCUUGGCCAAUGUUUUCAUCAUAUCCAUUGCCAAACUGCUAUCUGUCAGACAUUACAAGAAAUGCUGGUAUAAAACAAGACAAUGAUCUUGACAAGCUUUUAUUAUGCCUCAAAAUAUCUGAUAAACAAACUGAAUGGAUAGAAAACUGCCAAAGACAAUUUUGCAAAAUGAUGAAAGCCAAACCUGAUAUAAUCAGUGGAGAGGCCUUAAU
rnacentral:sRNA from 1 species